rnacentral:sRNA from 1 species
UGCGAGUGAUCUAUCUAAACAAUUAGAAGAGGAACAAACCAGGAUAAAUCAGCAGCGGGAAGAUUUAGAAAUCAAGAAAAAUACCAUAUUAGCUGCUUUUAAAAAAACGUGAGUAUGGUCUAUGAUAUCGUCCUGCCCUAAGGUAAGUU